UAGGAGUUAAGCGUGUUUGGACGUUUAUGGCGGACUCAUCUAAACUUUUUGGAAUUCUGGUUCACCCAUAAUUUUGCAACCGAAUUGCGCGCGCAAACAAACUACGUGAAAGUCCAGUACGAUGACCCCAUUGACUGCGGAAAGCCUGCGGCGCCCGCGCGAUGCUGCUAUGACCGGGAGAGGAAUGGACAUCCACGAUGACGACGCGUGCUCCCUGAUCGGCUAGCCGGGCGGCGCAAGCCUGUCCAAUUCCCGAUGGACCUCCCGUUACCAGAGCGAUGGCAUCCUGCAUUCGAAGAAGCAUGUACAA